CUAUUUUCUUGGAUCCCCUUAAAACUUGUUACCUGGUCCCUGAGGGACCAUUGGGCCCAAGAGCGGAGGCAUUUGUGUUCAGCCUCUUGGGAGUUGUAGUUUCCCUGGGUUCUAACGCAUGCUCCACCGCCGUCUGGAAACUACAAAACCCACAAACCCUCGCUGCACCGCCCGCCUCCGCCUCGCGUUCCUCGCCAGCUCGCAGCCCCGCCCCUCGGUCCAGGCAGAGGCGCGAUGGCCGACCGUGGCGGCCCUGCGGAAGAGCCAAGCCCGCGGGGUUCUCCCCGGUCGGAACCCCGGGUCCCGCGCACGGCCGGGCCGAGCGAGACCCCGCGUACCGCGGCGCUGGCGCUGCGCUUUGAUAAGCCCAUCAAACAGGCUUUCUACAACACGGGCGCCGUGCUGUUCGUGUGCCUGUGCUGCGGCGCCGCGGUUCUUGUGUACUUCAUCCUCGAGGCCUUUCUGCGGCCG
rnacentral:lncRNA from 1 species